rnacentral:rRNA from 1 species
GACGUGAGUAACCUGCCUUCAAGAGGGGGAUAACAGUCAGAAAUGGCUGCUAAUACCGCAUAAGCGCACAGAGCUGCAUGGCUCAGUGUGAAAAACUCCGGUGGUACAGGAUGGACCCGCGUCUGAUUAGCUGGUUGGUGAGGUAACGGCUCACCAAGGCGACGAUCAGUAGCCGGCUUGAGAGAGUGAACGGCCACAUUGGGACUGAGACACGGCCCAAACUCCUACGGGAGGCAGCAUG